UACGGGGGGGGCAAGCGUUGUUCGGAAUUACUGGGCGUAAAGGGCGCGUAGGCGGCCUGCUAAGUCGGAUGUGAAAUCCCUCGGCUCAACCGAGGAACUGCAUCCGAUACUGGCGGGCUUGAAUCCGGGAGAGGGAUGUGGAAUUCCAGGUGUAGCGGUGAAAUGCGUAGAUAUCUGGAGGAACACCGGUGGCGAAGGCGGCAUCCUGGACCGGCAUUGACGCUGAGGCGCGAAAGCCAGGGGAGCAAACGGG
rnacentral:rRNA from 1 species